rnacentral:lncRNA from 1 species
AGGGAAGGGGGAAAUAGUAUACAGCAAACACCCUUCAGGCAGGUAUUAUCAAGCUCCGUCUGUGAAGGUGAGGCGGAAGAGGCCACACCAGGGAGAAAGUGAUUAUGAGAAACAUGCAGAAAACAAGAGCACAUACUCAUAGUCACAUAGAAAAUGAGGUGAGGGGAAGAAAUCUUCAUGAAACCGUCUCAAGGUAUAUUUAAACGUGGCUCCCUGCAGGCCACCCAUUCUUUGUCCCAGCUAAUUCAUAUACGAGAGACGUUUUACUUCAGAGAGAUUGCCAAUGGAAAAAAUGUGAACGAAACACCCGCAUGGAUGGCCCACGGUGAGGCGUCUCUGAUCGCUAUCAAA